AACUUACCCCAUCAGAUUGUACCUAUUUACAUCUGCAAUCAUAUCACCAGGGGCGGAUGAAGAUUCUGUCAUUAUUAAAAAACAGUCAGGAGAACCACAGAAAAAAAUCAAAUUAGCAAAUGAAAAAGUUCUGCAGGAUGAGAGUGAUGAUGAAUUUGAAAGUCUGCCUAAACUAGUUUUGAGAAAAUCAAAGAGAAGGAAAGAAGAUAAAAAGGUGAAGGAUUCGGAGCCCAAAACUGCAACCAUAGCUGAAAUACCUUCAAACCCAGAAACAAGUCCAACAGU